UACGUAGGGGGCUAGCGUUGUCCGGAUUUAUUGGGCGUAAAGAGCGUGUAGGCGGCCAGGUAGGUCUGGUGUGAAAACUCGAGGCUUAACCUUGAGAUGUCAUCGGAAACCAUUUGGCUAGAGUCCGGAAGAGGAAAGUGGAAUUCCUGGUGUAGCGGUGAAAUGCGCAGAUAUCAGGAAGAACACCAAUGGCGAAAGCGGCGCACUGGACCACAACUGACGCUGAGGCGCGAAAGCUAGGGGAGCAAACAGG
rnacentral:rRNA from 1 species